CGGGCACAGAGGGAAGCCAGGUGGCGACACCGCGCGGAACCCGAAAGCCGUUCUCAGUUCGGAUCGGAGUCUGCAACCCGACUCCGUGAAGCUGGAUUCGCUAGUAAUCGCGCAUCAGCCAUGGCGCGGUGAAUACGUUCCCGGGCCUUGUACACACCGCCCGUCAAGCCAUGGGAGCCGGGGGUGCUUGAAGUGCGUCGCCGCAAGGCGCGCCCUAGAGCAAAACCGGUGACUGGGGCUAAGUCGUAACAAGGUAGC
rnacentral:rRNA from 1 species